rnacentral:ncRNA from 1 species
AUUGAAUAUCAAAAAACAGGUGCCGCUUAUGAUUUUGAUGAACAAAAUUAUGAAUCGGUGAAAAGGAAAGUGGGUUGAAAUCCCACGCGGUCCCGCCGCUGUGAAAGAGAAGUCCUUACAAAAUGCCACUGGGAAACUGGGAAGACUGUAAGGAUGAUGAUGCUUGAGCCAGAAGACCUGCCUGUUUUAUCACCAUUAA